rfam:Homo sapiens chromosome 13, GRCh38 reference primary assembly.
GCCAGACGCGGCUGUAGUCCCAGCUACUCGGGAGGCUAAGGCAGGUGGAUCACUGGAGUCCAGGAGUUCCGGGCUGUAGUGCGCUCUGCCGAUCAGGUGACUGCACCAAGUUCGGCAUCAAUCUGAUGUCCUCCAGGAAGACCGGAGCCACCAGAUUGCCCAGGGAGCGGUGAACUGGCCCAGGUUGGAAAGAGAACAGGUCAAAACUCCACUGCUGAUCAGUAGUGGGAUUGUGCCUAUGAAUAGCCACUGCACUCCAGCUUGGACAACCUAGGCAGAACCUAUCUCAA